UACGAAGGGGGCUAGCGUUGUUCGGAAUCACUGGGCGUAAAGCGCACGUAGGCGGAUUGUUAAGUCGGGGGUGAAAUCCCGAGGCUCAACCUCGGAACUGCCUUCGAUACUGGCGAUCUUUGAGUCCGGGAGAGGUGAGUGGAACUCCGAGUGUAGAGGUGAAAUUCGUAGAUAUUCGGAAGAACACCAGUGGCGAAGGCGGCUCACUGGCCCGGUACUGACGCUGAGGUGCGAAAGCGUGGGGAGCAAACAGG
rnacentral:rRNA from 1 species